rnacentral:rRNA from 1 species
UGGGGAAUAUUGCACAAUGGGCGAAAGCCUGAUGCAGCAACGCCGCGUGAGUGAUGAAGGUCUUCGGAUUGUAAAGCUCUGUCUUUUGGGACGAUAAUGACGGUACCAAAGGAGGAAGCCACGGCUAACUACGUGCCAGCAGCCGCGGUAAUACGUAGGUGGCGAGCGUUGUCCGGAUUUACUGGGCGUAAAGGGUGCGUAGGCGGAUGUUUAAGGUGAGAUGUGAAAUACCCGGGCUUAACUUGGGUGCUGCAUUUCAAACUGGAUAUCUAGAGUGCAGGAGAGGAGAAUGGAAUUCCUGUGUAGCGGUGAAAUGCGUAGAGAUUAGGAAGAACACCAGUGGCGAAGGCGAUUCUCCGGACUGUAACUGACGCUGAGGCACGAAAGCGUGGGUAGCAAACAGGAUUAGAUACCCUGGUAGUCCACGCCGUAAACGAUGAGUACUAGGUGUAGGAGGUAUCGACCCCUUCUGUGCCGCAGUAAACACAUUAAGUACUCCGCCUGGGAAGUACGAUCGCAAGAUUAAAACUC